rnacentral:rRNA from 1 species
GAUGAACGCUAGCUACAGGCUUAACACAUGCAAGUCGAGGGGAAACGGCAUCGAAAGCUUGCUUUUGAUGGGCGUCGACCGGCGCACGGGUGAGUAACGCGUAUCCAACCUGCCCAUCACUUGGGAAUAACCUUGCGAAAGUAAGACUAAUGCCCAAUGACAUCCCACGAAGGCAUCCGAAUGGGAUUAAAGAUUUAUCGGUGAUGGAUGGGGAUGCGUCUGAUUAGCUUGUUGGCGGGGUGACGGCCCACCAAGGCAACGAUCAGUAGGGGUUCUGAGAAGAAGGUCCCCCACAUUGGAACUGAGACACGGUCCAAACUCCUACGGGAGGCAGCAGUGAGGAAUAUUGGUCAAUGGGCGAGAGCCUGAACCAGCCAAGUAGCGUGCAGGAUGACGGCCCUAUGGGUUGUAAACUGCUUUUAUAAGGGAAUAAAGUGGGUCACGUGUGACUUUUUGCAUGUACCUUAUGAAUAAGGACCGGCUAAUUCCGU